CCCUUAGAUGUUCUGGGCGGCCCGCGCACUACAAUGGCGUGUGCAGCGAGUGCCGAAGUAGAGUUUUCCGAGAUAUUCUUGCAAUGCUCGUUUUGAUGGGGAUAGACCCUUGCAACUGUUGGUUUUGAACGAGGAAUUCCUUGUAAGCAUGGUUUAUCAUCCGACGCUGAAUGCGUCCCUGCCCUUUGUACACACCGCCCGUCGCUCCUACCGAUGAGUCGUCCGGUGAAGUUCGUAGACCUCGUGAUCGCGGAUCACUGGGGGAAGCAAAAUGAACCUCGCGGUUUAGGGGAAGGAGAAGUCGUAACA
rnacentral:rRNA from 1 species